AACACUAAAUCACCUAUGUGAAUUAAGUUGAUACCUUAAAAGAAAAAUUUUUAUAUUUUUAGUGUUA
rnacentral:tRNA from 1 species